UAGAGAUAGUAUGGGCCAAGCAGCAGGGGGUGCGCUGGUGAAGGUGGCCUUGGGCCUUAGGUCCUAUCAACUCCAAUGCCUAAACGCAUCUACUGGAAGCAGGAAAAAGCGCUUAUUCACAUAAGCGAAAAAGCACUUCCCAGCGACGGUCAUCGCUUCUCCACCGCUAGCACACCAGGUCUCAUACGGAGACCCUACGUGAAGCUCUCAAACAAAAACGCAGCUGUGACAAAACAACGCCCUCAAGUUAUGGCUUCUACCUCUACAAUCCAAUACAUCAUUGUGGAAAGCGAAUCAUGAGCAUAUGGAGUAAGUGGACUACCUGUCCGAGACGACGACGGAGACGGCGACGAUGAUGACGAAGGUCACAAGCACAACUCCUAUCCACUUUUGAGCGCCUCUCUUCCUCUUCUCUUAACACUGAACCGGAUCCAAAGCGCGUGAGUGAUAGCGAUCUUCGAGUUUUGAAGCUUCCGGCGGUGGCUUAGCUCUGCCGUGUAGAGCUUCGAGUGAUGAAGCUCUCACAACAAUGAAAGUGAGCGUGUACUGAAGGUGGGGAGUGAUUGCAAGAUGCUUUUGGAUGAGGAAAAAAAUUCUGAACCCAAUGAUUGGCAAUGAUUGCCUCUUAUAUAGCGUGAUCCAAAAGGGAAAUUUGGAGAAUUAAGUCUGAGUGGUUAAAUCUGAUUCGUCCAGCUGCCAUUUAAGUGAAGGACAUAUGCAGAGCUUGUGAUUUGGGUCGAUCCAAGGACUGCGUAGGUUUGGACUUGUAUGCUUCACUGCAGAUUACACUGACUCAAGUGUUUUGCAAGGUAUGAAUCAUAAGCUUGGAUAGAACCUUCUUGAAUUGGUCUUGCCUUUAUGAUGUGGUUUUUUCCAUUGGAUUAGAACCCUGCCUUUGAUCCUGUAGUGUUAUUUCAUGGUGUAGCAUCUGGUGCCAUUGCUUUGGUUUCAACUCAAUGGUGAAGUAGUGUUUCCCAUGGCUUGCGAAUCUUGAUCACGCACCUCGAGAUUUGCCGUAAGAAGAGAAAGACUACCGUCUUAGGCUGUUUCGGUUAGUGUACGUUGAAAGGAUUACGUACCAGAACAAAUUGCAAGCACGUCUUUGAGCUUUCACUUUGUAAAUUCCUCUCUUUCGGUAGGUGAAUAUCCAGACUGUGUUUCCAUUUAUGCCGGUGUAUGUGGUGAUGCUUGAUGGAGAAGUCUUCUGCAGUCUUCACUAAUAGAUGUGCAGCUUGUUCUUUAUGUGAUCUUUGGGAGAUCAAUACAUCCAUUAUCUCAUUCACUGAGCAGCAAGAAUUGAAGAACUGAGGUUGGAACAUCAGGAUCAACCACGUUCGAACAAUACUGGAAGUUGCUAGAGCCAUGCAUAUUGACGUCUCUUGAGAGCUUCUGAUGAUUCGCUGCUAAGAAUUGCCAUGGUAAGCCUAAACAAUAUGGUUAAGCAAGCACCAUUUGCUAAUCGUUUAACCACAAUGAGAUCAAGGCAUGUUAUGCGGUCAGAACUUAGACUUCCCAGAACCAUAAACCUCUCAUCUCGUAGCUUAGCCAUUCAUGUUAGUGCUACCUGGGACAAUAUGACUGCCAUCCUCAAUGAACAGUCUGGAGAAGUAGAUGCAGUGAGAGAGGAAUCAAGGAUCUAAAAGAGAACUUCAUAUUGAUCUUCAAGCAUUGCUAAUCUUUCAGAUGCAGACACCUCAACAAUCUGAGACCAGGCAGACAACCUAUGUAGUUGUGAGGCUUGCUCCUCAAGAUUUCUAUUGUAUCUCCAACCUUCUGACUCCGAAACAGUUUUGAGUUUUUUUUAGUAUUUUAUGAUGACACAUGAGACUGAGUCGCGGUGCAUCACAGUAAUGCAAGUUGAAAUACAUCCACUACAUUAUCUAUGGUGAGUAAACUCAAUUUUAGCCUCUGCUCACAUUCAUGCUUCAAGUGAGGGACCGCAUAUACAUGUGACAGCACCAACAGAUGUGGGAAAAAUCCUUCAUUUCUUCGUUCUCGUAACAGGAAGAGUACAAGAAUCGACUGAAAACUCGUACUGCAUCAUGUGGAUCCCCAACAAUUGAGAUUGAUCACCGUCGAUUGGAGCGAUCUGCUUGCUUCAGCAUACCUCCCAAUACAGAAGAAGCCACCGCAAUAAUGUUAGAAUGAGCAUAAACAAUGCCACCGUUAUCAGUAUUAAUGCGAACAUCGGCUUUGUAAUCUUCAUUGAAAAGACGCUCCCACAAAUCUCUUGUUGCAGUAGGGACACAGCUGCUUCGCCGUCUGGGUGCUAAAUUAUUCAUCACCACAUACUUGCAAGGAUAACCUGUCGCUGCUGAUAGGAGUUGUAGGACUGUCAUGACUAUUGUGUUAUGUGGUGUUUUAGGCAUCGAUCACGUAAUGGUGAUUAUGGUUUUAUAGGUUAUUUGACACAGUUGACGAAAUACAAGACGCUAAAGGUCAUGGCAGUUGUAAAUGGAGGAGCAGCACGGUUCCAAUAACGAAGAAAGAACCGACAACUGUUGCGGUGAAGCCUACAGAAAUUCCAGCUGCUGCAACAAGUGCCAUGUUCCUUUCUCUGUUGUUGUUUUUUUUGCCGCCUUUAUGUUAUGCUGUUGCUGAUUCGCUUUAACAAUGCAGUGAAUUACCUUCUGCAGGUUUGGUUCCGUUUUGCAGUUACAGGGAAAAUGGACAUCAUCAAGAACAAAAAGGAUUUGGCAAAUACGACCCGCUAUCGGGAGCUUCACCAUUGCAAAUAACCUGGCCAACCAUUCCAACAUAAAGAGUCUCGAUCAAUUGCGGAAGAGCACAACGAUGCGGGGAGCUCUUAACCGAGAGCAGUAUGGGCCACGAUUUGGCCUAUAUUCGCGACCGAGAUAGUUGGAUCACGGAAAUUCAUACGGAGAGCACCAGAAAGAGGUGUCUGGCAUUGCUUAUCGUGUUCAACAAUUUGAGAACUUCAGGAUCCACUUGCAGGUUGUCGGAAUUGCGGCGUUUGGCUCAGUUUUGAAGCUCUGUUACCGUUUCUUUUGCAGGUACUCGGUUGGAUUCGAGUUUGGCCCUGGUUUUGUGCGUGGUUGGUUCGCCAUUAUCGGUUUCAGAGCUGCUGUUUUUGUUUCGUUGCACCUGAACCGAUAUGACUGCAACGUUGCUACACUGCAUAAUUGACAUGCCUGCAGAGUCGAUGCUCGAACGCCGAUGUCUCGGUGUCGCAACCGGCUUGGCCAGGUUUAGGAUUAUUUGUGUUUUCUUUGGUGACUUGCAGGUGGAGUUCUGAGUUCCUACAGUUCUUUGUUUUGCAAAGUUGGUGCUGCCAGUUCAAGACUUUGGUUGGUUAAUAUCUGUAAACUUGACGGCUUCAAAUGCGGGGAA